rnacentral:rRNA from 1 species
CAAUAGCGUAUAUUAAAGUUGUUGCGGUAAAAAGCUCGUAGUUGGAUUUCUGUUGAAGACGUCCGGUCCAUACCACGUAUGCGCAUCUGGCUCGGCUUCGGCAUCCUCUCGAAAGACGUUUCUGCGCUUGAUUGCGUGGAGCGGAUCUCGGGACUUUUACUUUGAGGAAAUUAGAGUGUUCACGGCAGGCUAUCGCCAGAAUACAUUAGCAUGGAAUAAUACUAUAGGAUCUCGGUUCUAUUUUGUUGGUUUCUAGAAUUGAGAUAAUGAUUAAUAGGGACAAUUGGGGGCAUUCGUAUCAACACGUUAGAGGUGAAAUUCUUGGAUCGUGUUGCGACGAACUACUGCGAAAGCAUUUGCCAAGGAUGUUUUCAUUGAUCAAGAACGAAAGUAAGGGGAUCGAAGACGAUCAGAUACCAU